UACGUAGGGGGCGAGCGUUGUCCGGAAUCAUUGGGCGUAAAGCGCGUGUAGGCGGCCCGGUAAGUCCGCUGUGAAAGUCCAGGGCUCAACCCUGGGAUGCCGGUGGAUACUGUCGGGCUCGAGUCCGGAAGAGGCGAGUGGAAUUCCUGGUGUAGCAGUGAAAUGCGUAGAUAUCAGGAGGAACACCGAUGGCGAAGGCAGGUCUCUGGGCUGACACUGACGCUCAUGCACGAAAGCGUGGGGAGCAAACAGG
rnacentral:rRNA from 1 species